rnacentral:lncRNA from 1 species
UUAUCAAAUACACCUUCAGCAGACUGACGGAUUUUAAGACUUUCACCUAGUUUGUUUAUUGCCAACAACACUCUUUCAACUGAAUUCCACAUGUCAAAAAGUCUAACUAUUGUUGUGUAGUGAGAACCCCAACGUGUAUCACCAGGCCGAGCUAAACUUAUUUCUUGAUUCUGACCUCUUCCAGUUGAAAUCUCACCCAUCUCCACUUGAUUCAACACUUCCUCAUUGUGUAUUUCUCGAAGAUAAUCCUUUCUUUUGCACGAAGCUCCAAUUGUAUUUACUAUCAUUGAC